rnacentral:rRNA from 1 species
AUUGAACGCUGGCGGCAGGCCUAACACAUGCAAGUCGAGCGGAUGAAGGGAGCUUGCUCCUGGAUCCAGCGGCGGACGGGUGAGUAAUGCCUAGGAAUCUGCCUGGUAGUGGGGGAUAACGUCCGGAAACGGGCGCUAAUACCGCAUACGUCCUGAGGGAGAAGGUGGGGGAUCUUCGGACCUCACGCUAUCAGAUGAGCCUAGGUCGGAUUAGCUAGUUGGUGGGGUAAAGGCCUACCAAGGCGACGAUCCGUAACUGGUCUGAGAGGAUGAUCAGUCACACUGGAACUGAGACACGGUCCAGACUCCUACGGGAGGCAGCAGUGGGGAAUAUUGGACAAUGGGCGAAAGCCUGAUCCAGCCAUGCCGCGUGUGUGAAGAAGGUCUUCGGAUUGUAAAGCACUUUAAGUUGGGAGGAAGGGCAGUAAGUUAAUACCUUGCUGUUUUGACGUUACCAACAGAAUAAGCACCGGCUAACUUCGUG